CUUAUACCCUCUCUUAGGUUUUAUUGAUGGUUCUUAUAUAAAAAAAUCAAAUGAUCAUACCUAUAUAGGGAUUGGAGGCCUGCUGAGAAGCAAGUAAGAAACUACCAAAUUAAUUUUUUCAGGACCAGUACUUGCAGAGUCCAGUUAUGAUGCUGAGGUUCAAGCUCUUUCUUGUAUCUUAAAACAUAUACGUGCAAGUCAUAUUCAGUUGAAUGAAUGCAUGCUCCUUUCAGACUGUUCUGUGCUAGUUAAUAAUGUUCUCAAGUUGAAAUCUGGAUCAUUAUGGGAAAAAAAUCUUUAAUUCCUUCAGCUUAAUGAUGCCUUGCACAAAGUCAAUAUCAUGGUUUAUUCAGAUGUUCAAAUGUAGUCGUAUGUGUUUCCAGUUAUGGUUUAAUCUCAAACAGGUCAUAAAUUGUAUAAAGGGGAUUGUUUUGAAUUGGGGAAAAGAUGAGUAGGCCUGUUUUCUGUGGAAAUUUCGAGUACAAAACUCGCCAAUCGGACCUGGAGCAUUUGUUUUCCAAGUACGGGAGAGUCGAGCGAGUCGACAUGAAAUCUGGUUUACGCCUUGGAACUCCAACUCUCGCCUAUAAUUCAUGCCAAAUGCCAUUACAUUCUACCCAAGCAUCAGGUGAAAUACACAUUUGUAGUUUUCGGAUUUUAUAUUUGCUCAUAUCUUCUUUAAUUAGCUAAUGUUACUUACUUCCACGACAAAGCUUGCGGUUAGUACACCAUCUGAUCUUCAGUACAAUAAGCCUGGAAGUGUUGGACAUGCAUCAGAUGCUCAAUAUGGGUGCCCCCAAGCAGAAAUGGACCUCAGAAGAAGAAGCUGCUCUUAAGGCUGGUGUUAAAAAGCAUGUUGGAGGUAAAUGGCGUACGAUCCUUAAAGAUCCAGAGUUUAGCGGUGUGUUGUAUCUGUGCUCAAAUGUGGACCUCAAGGACAAGUGGGGGAACCAAUGGGUUCUGGUAAACCCAUUGGUUUACCAUCAAUAAAGAAAAUCUUAAAUGGAGGCCGGAGCCUGUCAGUUGAGUUACUCAGAAAGGCAAUUCAAAAUUUUCCAAGAUCAAAAAUUGUCUCUGCUAGCAAAGGAUUUGCCUGAUAUUUGCACAUCUAGAACAACUUGAAUUUCAAACACAUCUUCUGCUUGCAUCUUCUUCGUGAUGAAAACUACGUGGAAUUAUUAGUGGAACAUAAUCAUCUCGGUUUGUACAGGACGAGGUUUUAAACAAGAGCAGGCCAAGAAAAUAUAGCAGAAAUCAAUUUCCUGCUUAAAUGGAGGCUGGAGCGCAGAUUUGAGUUGUAACCAAUGGGUGCCCCCAAGCAGAAAUGGACCUCAGAAGAAGAAGCUGCUCUUAAGGCUGGUGUCAAAAAGCAUGGUGCAGGUAAGUGGCGUACGAUCCUUAAAGAUCCAGAGUUUAGCGGAGUGUGUUGUAUCUGCGCUCAAAUGUGGACCUCAAGGACAAGUUGAGGAACAUGAGUGUCAUAGCCAAUGGAUGGGGUUCUGGAGAGAAGGCUAGGUUGGCACUUAAAACAAUGCACCAGAGCUCUAGAGAUGAUGAUAAUUCUGUUGUUUUUGUAUAUAGGAUUCUAGUAUAGUUUAAGUAUAUAAAAUAUAGAACAUAACAUAAUAAGGAAUAGUGAAACUAUUUUUUCUUGGAAUAUUUUGUUGUUCUGAUAUAUUAAAAGAUAUUACAAGCUUCUCCAUAUAUAGUAGGAUAGUUCAGAUCAUCACGAGGUUACAAACUUUUGAGUUCCAUGAAUCACAAUCAA